GAGAGACAAACUGUUUAUGAUUAUCAACGUGACCGUAGAGUGGUUUAAAUACAAAUCAAAAAUUCGAGCGUUAUUAAUUCAAUCAAAAUAACGCGAAUAGAAUGGGUUGAACGAACCAAACACAUUAUGUGCUAAAAUCGGAAAAUAUAACUAAAUAGGAUGUAUUUGCAAACUAAUUCAACUACUUUUCUUUAUUUUCAGAUAGAUCUACGACCUACGUGGUAUAGCAAAGUGUUUCCUAAAUCCAACAUUUUACUGCUCUAAUAUAAAGGACUAAACUGCAAACCGGGGUGUCUCCAAUCUUUCCAACGGAUGUCCAACCUUUCUCCUUUAACCUUCUAACUAUACACUAAUAUAAUAUUCAGAUGGAUCUACAACGUAUGUGGUGAAUCAAAGUGUUUCCUAAAUCCAACAUUUUACUGCUCUAUUAUAAAGAUCGAUUUUCCUUUAUCUAAACAAUGUGGAGGGGGAAUGCAAAGCCACGAACGUUAAUUGAUCAAGUGAGAUCAUAAAUUUAUCAAAUCAACCGCAGAUCGGAAAUAAAAACUAUAGAGCUUCUAAUUUGUUGGCGAGGAUAAAUGGACUGUGGGAAAUUUUAUUAAUGAAUACUGCUAUAUUGCACUGACUUGAAAGAAAUAAUUUGUAAUUUUAUGUCGGUGCAAAAUUUUGGAUUUAAACAUUUGAUAAAUUUCUCAAAGCCCAAACGUUUAGUUAAUUACUUUAGAAGCUAAAACGUUUUGGGCGAAUGAUAUUGUUAAAAAAGUAUUUAUAUGCUUUAUUUAAAAUAUAAAUAGCAUCACGUGCUGUUCGUGCUGAUUUUUGUGAGACAUUUCUGUUUUCAUAUUUUUGGGAGUUUUGCAACUUAGUUUUAAAUUAAUUGCAAUAAUGUUUUGCACUGUUCUACUUUUAUUUUUAACUUAU